CAAGUCGAGCGGACAGAAGGGAGCUUGCUCCCGGAUGUUAGCGGCGGACGGGUGAGUAACACGUGGGUAACCUGCCUGUAAGACUGGGAUAACUCCGGGAAACCGGAGCUAAUACCGGAUAGUUCCUUGAACCGCAUGGUUCAAGGAUGAAAGACGGUUUCGGCUGUCACUUACAGAUGGACCCGCGGCGCAUUAGCUAGUUGGUGGGGUAAUGGCUCACCAAGGCGACGAUGCGUAGCCGACCUGAGAGGGUGAUCGGCCACACUGGGACUGAGACACGGCCCAGACUCCUACGGGAGGCAGCAGUAGGGAAUCUUCCGCAAUGGACGAAAGUCUGACGGAGCAACGCCGCGUGAGUGAUGAAGGUUUUCGGAUCGUAAAGCUCUGUUGUUAGGGAAGAACAAGUGCGAGAGUAACUGCUCGCACCUUGACGGUACCUAACCAGAAAGCCACGGCUAACUACGUGCCAGCAGCCGCGGUAAUACGUAGGUGGCAAGCGUUGUCCGGAAUUAUUGGGCGUAAAGGGCUCGCAGGCGGUUUCUUAAGUCUGAUGUGAAAGCCCCCGGCUCAACCGGGGAGGGUCAUUGGAAACUGGGAAACUUGAGUGCAGAAGAGGAGAGUGGAAUUCCACGUGUAGCGGUGAAAUGCGUAGAGAUGUGGAGGAACACCAGUGGCGAAGGCGACUCUCUGGUCUGUAACUGACGCUGAGGAGCGAA
rnacentral:rRNA from 1 species